rnacentral:lncRNA from 1 species
UCAAUCGCAUCAUCACAAAUUUGUUGAGCACAUCAAUUGGAAAGAUUGUGUGGGUUUAUAUGAAAUGAGUGAGGCAAAUAAAACUUUGGUUUUGAUUAAUAUGGACAUACGUCAUAAUAAGUAGAAAGGUACAGUGAGAAGAUAAGUGUAUGAUGAGAAUAGUGGUUUUCUGAACAGAAGCUUCUGCAUAUUCAGUUACGUAAAAUGAGUAACAUAAUUUGAAGCAGUGGGAAGCAAAUACAUGAGAGUG